rnacentral:misc_RNA from 1 species
GAAAUGCGAUAAGUAAUGUGAAUUGCAGAAUUCAGUGAAUCAUCGAAUCUUUGAACGCACAUUGCGCCCGCCAGUAUUCUGGCGGGCAUGCCUGUUCGAGCGUCAUUACAACCCUCAGGCCCCCGGGCCUGGCGUUGGGGAUCGGCGGAAGCCCCCUGCGGGCACAACGCCGUCCCCCAAAUACAGUGGCGGUCCCGCCGCAGCUUCCAUUGCGUAGUAGCUAACACCUCGCAACUGGAGAGCGGCGCGGCCACGCCGUAAAACACCCAACUUCUGAAUGUUGACCUCGAAUCAGGUAGGAAUACGCGCAGAAGUUAAGC